UUUGAUGGCGACCGGCGCACGGGUGAGUAACACGUAUCCAACCUGCCGAUGACUCGGGGAUAGCCUUUCGAAAGAAAGAUUAAUACCCGAUGGCAUGGUUCUUCCGCAUGGUAGAACUAUUAAAGAAUUUCGGUCAUCGAUGGGGAUGCGUUCCAUUAGGUUGUUGGCGGGGUAACGGCCCACCAAGCCUUCGAUGGAUAGGGGUUCUGAGAGGAAGGUCCCCCACAUUGGAACUGAGACACGGUCCAA
rnacentral:rRNA from 1 species